rnacentral:rRNA from 1 species
GACGAACGCUGGCGGCGUGCUUAACACAUGCAAGUCGAACGAUGAAGCACCAGCUUGCUGGUGUGGAUUAGUGGCGAACGGGUGAGUAACACGUGAGUAACCUGCCCCUCACUCUGGGAUAAGCCUGGGAAACUGGGUCUAAUACUGGAUACGACCGAUCUCCGCAUGGAGUGUUGGUGGAAAGUUUUUGUGGUGGGGGAUGGACUCGCGGCCUAUUAGCUUGUUGGUGGGGUAAUGGCCUACCAAGGCGACGACGGGUAGCCGGCCUGAGAGGGCGACCGGCCACACUGGGACUGAGACACGGCCCAGACUCCUACGGGAGGCAGCAGUGGGGAAUAUUGCACAAUGGGCGAAAGCCUGAUGCAGCGACGCCGCGUGAGGGAUGACGGCCUUCGGGUUGUAAACCUCUUUCACCAGGGACGAAGCUAACGUGACGGUACCUGGAGAAGAAGCACCGGCUAACUACGUG